GUGCUCACUUCAGCAGCACAUACUCUAAAAUUGUGAACAAUAUAGAGAAGAUCAGCAUGGCCCUUGCACAAGGAGAACAUGCAAAUUCAGGAAGCUUUCCAUAGUUUU
ensembl:snRNA U6 U6 spliceosomal RNA